rnacentral:rRNA from 1 species
GAUGAACGCUAGCUACAGGCUUAACACAUGCAAGUCGAGGGGUAACGAGAGGAAAGCUUGCUUUCCUUGUCGACGACCGGCGCACGGGUGAGUAACGCGUAUCCAACCUGCCCCCAACUAGGGAAUAACCUUGCGAAAGUAAGACUAAUACCCUAUAAUUUCCUCAGAUGUCAUCUGACGAGGAAUAAAGAUUUAUCGGUUGUGGAUGGGGAUGCGUCUGAUUAGCUUGGUGGCGGGGUAACGGCCCACCAAGGCAACGAGCAGUAUGGGUUCUGAGAGGAAGGUCCCCCACAUUGGAACUGAGACACGGUCCAAACUCCUACGGGAGGCAGCAGUGAGGAAUAUUGGUCAAUGGGCGGAAGCCUGAACCAGCCAAGUAGCGUGCAGGAUGACGGCCCUAUGGGUUGCAAACUGCUUUUAUACAGGAAUAAAGUUAGCCACGUGUGGUUAUUUGUAGGUACUGUAUGAAUAAGGACCGGCUAAUUCCGUGCCAGCCGCCGCAGUAA